CUACGGGAGGCAGCAGUAGGGAAUCUUCCACAAUGGACGCAAGUCUGAUGGAGCAACGCCGCGUGAGUGAGAAGGUUUUCGGAUCGUAAAGCUCUGUUGUUGGUGAAGAAGGAUAGAGGUAGUAACUGGCCUUUAUUUGACGGUAAUCAACCAGAAAGUCACGGCUAACUACGUGCCAGCAGCCGCGGUAAUACGUAGGUGGCAAGCGUUGUCCGGAUUUAUUGGGCGUAAAGCGAGCGCAGGCGGAAAAUAAGUCUGAUGUGAAAGCCCUCGGCUUAACCGAGGAACUGCAUCGGAAACUGUUUUUCUUGAGUGCAGAAGAGGAGAGUGGAAUUCCAUGUGUAGCGGUGGAAUGCGUAGAUAUAUGGAAGAACACCAGUGGCGAAGGCGACUCUCUGGUCUGCAACUGACGCUGAGGCUCGAAAGCAUGGGUAGCGAACAGGAUUAGAUACCCUUGGUAGU
rnacentral:rRNA from 1 species